AUGAACGCUGGCGGCGUGCCUAACACAUGCAAGUCGAACGAAGCACCUCGGCCCGAUGAAGAGGAGAGCUUGCUCAAAUCGGAAUCAAUUGAGGUGACUUAGUGGCGGACGGGUGAGUAACGCGUGGGUAACCUGCCGUAUACAGGGGGAUAACAGUUAGAAAUGACUGCUAAUACCGCAUAAGCGCACGGUAUCGCAUGAUACAGUGUGAAAAGCCGAGACGGUAUACGAUGGACCCGCGUCUGAUUAGCCAGUUGGCAGGGUAACGGCCUACCAAAGCAACCGAUCAGUAGCCGGCCUGAGAGGGUGAACGGCCACAUUGGGACUGAGACACGGCCCAAACUCCUACGGGAGGCAGCAGUGGGGGAUAUUGCACAAUGGGGGAAACCCUGAUGCAAGCGACGCCGCGUGAGCGAAGAAGUAUUUCGGUAUGUAAAGCUCUAUCAGCAGGGAAGAAAAUGACGGUACCUGACUAAGAAGCUCCGGCUAAAUACGUGCCAGCCGCCGC
rnacentral:rRNA from 1 species